GGGGAAUAUUGGGCAAUGGGGGGAACCCUGACCCAGCAACGCCGCGUGAGGGAAGAAGGUUUUCGGAUUGUAAACCUCUGUUCUUGGAGAAGAGUGGAAGACGGUAUCCAAGGAGGAAGCCCCGGCUAACUACGUGCCAGCAGCCGCGGUAAUACGUAGGGGGCGUGCGUUGUCCGGAAUGAUUGGGCGUAAAGGGCGCGCAGGCGGCCAUUCAAGUCAGUAGUGGAAGUCCAUUUUUCAAGGGUGGAAGUGCUAUUGAAACUGUAUGGCUGGAGUGCGGGGGAGGUUAUCGGAAGUCGCGGUGUAGCGGUGAAAGGCGUAGCGAUCGGGAGGAACACCGGUGGCGAAGGCGGGUAACUGGACCGCAACUGACGCUGAGGGGCGAAAGUGUGGGGAGCAAA
rnacentral:rRNA from 1 species